UACGUAGGGCGCAAGCGUUGUCCGGAAUUAUUGGGCGUAAAGAGCGUGUAGGCGGCCAGGUAGGUCGGUUGUGAAAACUAGAGGCUCAACCUCUAGACGUCGACCGAAACCAUCUGGCUAGAGUCCGGAAGAGGAGAGUGGAAUUCCUGGUGUAGCGGUGAAAUGCGCAGAUAUCAGGAAGAACACCAACGGCGAAGGCAGCCCGCUGGGACGGUACUGACGCUAAGGCGCGAAAGCGUGGGGAGCGAACAGG
rnacentral:rRNA from 1 species